rnacentral:rRNA from 1 species
AAUAGAUACCCAGGUAGUCCACGCCGUAAACGAUGGAUGCUAGCUGUUAUGAGUAUCGACCCUUGUAGUAGCGAAGCUAACGCGUUAAGCAUCCCGCCUGUGGAGUACGAGCGCAAGCUUAAAACAUAAAGGAAUUGACGGGGACCCGCACAAGCGGUGGAGCGUGUUGUUUAAUUCGAUGAUAAGCGAAGAACCUUACCAAGGCUUGACAUCCCUGGAAGGUCUCCGAAAGGAGACUGUGCCUUCGGGAAUCAGGUGACAGGUGAUGCAUGGCCGUCGUCAGCUCGUGUCGUGAGAUGUUUGGUUAAGUCCAUCAACGAGCGCAACCCUUGUAAAUAGUUGAAUUUUUCAUUUUAGACUGCCUCGGUAACGGGGAGGAAGGAGGGGAUGAUGUCAGGUCAGUAUUUCCCUUAUGCCUUGGGCUACAAACACGCUACAAUGGCCGGUACAAAGGGCAGCCAACCCGCGAGGGGGAGCAAAUCCCAUCAAAACCGGUCCCAGUUCGGAUAGCAGGCUGAAACUCGCCUGCUUGAAGUCGG